AGUGAACGCUGGCGGCGUGCCUAACACAUGCAAGUCGAACGGAAUGGCGCACGGGUGAGUAAUGUAUGGCUAAUCUACCCUACGCUAGAGGACAACAACUGGAAACGACUGCUAAUACUCUCUAGUGUAGGUUGAGGCUAUAUUGUCUCAGCUAGUUGGUGAGGUAAUGGCUAACCAAGGGUAUGACGCAUCACUGGUCUGAGAGGAUGAGCAGUAGCACUGUAACUGAGACACGGUUCGGACUCCUACGGGAGGGAGCAGUAGGGUAUAUUGCCCAAGGGGGGAGUACCUGGAGGAGCUACGCCGCGUGGAGGAUGACACUUUUCGGAGCGUAGACUCCAUUUGUUAGGGAUGCGGUACCUAACGAAUAAGCACCGGCUAACUCCGUGCCAGCAGCCGCGGUAAUUC
rnacentral:rRNA from 1 species